CAGUAGCCGCGGUAAUGCGUAGGUGGCAAGCGUUGUCCGGAAUUAUUGGGCGUAAAGGGCUCACAGGCGGUUUCUUAAGUCUGAUGUGAAAGCCCCCGGCUCAACCGGGGAGGGUCAUUGGAAACUGGGAAACUUGAGUGCAGAAGAGGAGAGUGGAAUUCCACGUGUAGCGGUGAAAUGCGUAGAGAUGUGGAGGAACACCAGUGGCGAAGGCGACUCUCUGGUCUGCAACUGACGCUGAGGAGCGAAAGCGUGGGGAGCGAACAGGAUUAGAUACCCCGGUAGUCCCUGUCUCUUAUAA
rnacentral:rRNA from 1 species